UCCUCGAUGGUCAAGCCAUUAUUCAUAAACAGGAGGUGGUUUAUUCAGAUGGAAGGAAUGGAGUUAAUUUGGAUGAUGGAUUCUUAUAACAUAUGGAUUCUUAUUACACAAUAUGGAGCAUACAGUGAGAUCGACAGUUUCAGAAUGAUGCAGCUGAGGUAUAUAGAGAAGAGGGAGAAGUACAAAUUGAAACAGUGAGAAGAGGAAACGAAUAUUAUGCAGAAUCGAGAAACAGAAAAGAGGCAGCAUAUGUAUCAACAGAGAAAAAUGUGUGGCAGCGACAUGGAAAUAUGAGGAUCAUAGUAGAAAACGGGAAUGAACAAUUAGUUAUAGGAACUUGAAAACUCUGAAGGCAGCAAGACUAAUGGGGCAGUGGCACAUAAAGAAAGUGAACAUGAU